GGUAGUGUAGCUCAAUGGUAGAGUGAUUGAUUGGCAUGCGUAAGGCUCUGGGUUCAUUACCCAGUACUGCCC
rnacentral:tRNA from 1 species